UGUGUGUGUGUGUCUGUGUGUGUGUGUAUGUAGCUGUGUGUGUGUGUGUGUGUGUGUGUGUGUGUGUGUGUCUGUGUGUGUGUAACUGUACCCCGGUCAGAUCCAUCUGUGAUCCCGUCCAUUGUGUAUGAAUUAGCAAUCUGGCAUGUGAGCUGCAUUUAGCCCAUUAGGGUCAGCGGUGUCCCUGGGCUUCUCAGAAACACACACACACUAACACACACAGAGGACAGCUGCAGCUCACACACACACACACACACACACACUCUGAUAAUAUCAUCUGUACUCACUCUGUGUGUGUGUGUGUGUGUGUGUGUGUGUGUAGUUUACCUUGUAAGGUUUAAAAUGUCGCACUGAAUUAUUGACUUGAAAAAUAAACUAAUAAAAUCGAGGAGGCUGAUUUAAAGGUCAAUGAAGGGGCGGCCGUGGCCUAGUGGAUGGUGUGCAUGUCCUGUGUGUGGAGGCUGUAGUCCUCCAGGCUGACCCGGGUUCGGGGUCUGACCUGUGUCGGCUCCUUCCCCUGCAUGUCGUCACCCACUCUCCCUCUCUCCCUGGUUUCUGACUCUAUCUGUCCUGUCUCUACAAUAAAGACGUAACAAGCCUCGAAAAUAAAUCUUAGCAAAAAUAGACAAUAACCUAGAACGUGCAUACCCUAAAGCUCAAACAGCUUUUGAGAAGCUCAAAGUAACGUUAAA